ensembl:lncRNA
AUCCUCGUAACUGGUGCCCAACCACAGUCUUCAUUUCUCACUGAAUACAAGAAAAUAAAAGACCAAAGGUAAAGAAAAAUUAAAUUGUUCCUGGGUAACGCUGAUCAAAAUCCACGUAUAGCUGUGAUAUCACCAUGACAUGAGCAGCUUUGCACCACCACACCCUUCCACCAUGAUGUUCCUGCCUUGGAGCCAGCUAACCAUGGACUAAACCCUCUGAAACUGACUACAAUGCAGUUUCUACAAAAACUGAGACCUUCUUUACUUCAUCACUGAGCCUAGAAUAUCUAGAACCCUACAGCCCUUAAAAGAUAUUAGUUGGAAGAAUGUAUAGUCCUAAGAUAUUAUCAUUUCUCCUGUGACCUA